rnacentral:rRNA from 1 species
UGGGUCUCUUUUGGCCUUGGCUUGGUAUUUGGGCUUUGCUGUGUCGAUUGCGUUACGGCUAGCCUUAAAGACAUUAGCUGACCUCCGAUGUGGAAUUGGUUCUACUCAGCGUGAUAAUAACCUGACCGUUGAGGACAUCUUUUGGGAUGGCCAGCUCUCAUUGGGGUUGCUUCUAAUCAAAGGUAUUACGGAUCGGCUUAUGAUCUGUUUUGCUUGUUUGAUUUUGACCUCGAAUCAGGUGGGACUACCCGCUGAACUUAAGCAUAUCAAUAAGCGGAGGAAAAGAAACUAACAAGGAUUCCCUUAGUAACGGCGAGUGAAGCGGGAAGAGCUCAAAUUUAAAAUCUGGCAGUCUUCGAUUGUCCGAAUUGUAAUCUAGAGAAGCGUUUUCCGCGCUGGACUGUGUACAAGUUUCCUGGAUACGGAACAUCAUAGAGGGUGAGAAUCCCGUCUUUGACACAGACUGCCAGUGCUUUGUGAUGCGCUCUCGACGAGUCGAGUUGUUUGGGAUUGCAGCUCAAAAUGGGAGGUAAAUUCCUUCUAAAGCUAAAUAUUGGCGAGAGACCGAUAGCGAACAAGUACCGUGAGGGAAAGAUGAAAAGCACUUUGGAAAGAGAGUUAAACAGUACGUGAAAUUGUUAAAAGGGAAACGCUUGAAGUCAGUCAUGUCUGCCUUGGACUCAGCCUAGCCUCGGCUUGGUGCAUUUCCUUGUAGACAGGCCAGCGUCCAUGUUGUUUCCUGGAAAAGGGGUGAAGGAAUGUGGCUCCUCUGGGAGUGUUAUAGCCUUCAUUCGUAUAGAGGGGACUGUAUGGAGUGGUACAGCACGCAUUAGUGGUGC